CAGCCGCCACGGGAAUACGAAGGGGGCUAGCGUUGUUCGGAUUUACUGGGCGUAGAGGGCGCGUAGGCGGGCGAAUAAGUCAGGGGUGAAAUCCCAAGGCUCAACCUUGGAACUGCCUUCGAUACUGUUUGUCUUGAGUUCGAGAGAGGUAAGUGGAACUGCGAGUGUAGAGGUGAAAUUCGUAGAUAUUCGCAAGAACACCAGUGGCGAAGGCGGCUUACUGGCUCGAAACUGACGCUGAGGCGCGAAAGCGUGGGUAGCAAACAGGAUUAGAUACCCCUGUAGUCCCUGUCUCUUAUAA
rnacentral:rRNA from 1 species